rnacentral:rRNA from 1 species
CUACGGGGGGCAGCAGUGAGGAAUAUUGCACAAUGGGGGAAACCCUGAUGCAGCAACGCCGCGUGGAGGAUGACGCAUUUCGGUGUGUAAACUCCUUUUAUCAGAGAAGAAAAUGACGGUAUCUGAUGAAUAAGCUCCGGCUAACUCCGUGCCAGCAGCCGCGGUAAUACGGAGGGAGCAAGCGUUAUUCGGAAUCACUGGGCGUAAAGGACGCGUAGGGGGGUUUUUAAGUCAGGUGUGAAAUCCUAUGGCUCAACCAUAGAACUGCACUUGAAACUGGGGACCUAGAGUAUGGAAGGGGCAGGUGGAAUUAGUGGUGUAGGGGUAAAAUCCGUAGAUAUCACUAGGAAUACCGAAAGCGAAGGCGACCUGCUGGGACAUUACUGACGCUGAGGCGUGAAAGCGUGGGGAGCGAACAGGAUUAGAUACCCUCGUAGUC